CAGCAUCUUCUCCCUUCUCUCUGAUCCUCUCCUUUACGCAACCCCCGCACCCCCGCCGCUCAGGUUCUCCUUCCUCCACCCAACCCCACCUCCACGGAUGCGGCCUCUUUCUUCCCCAUCCUCUCCCGUCCUUAAUACCAUGGCCUCGUGCUGCCGCUAUAGAUCCGACGCGCGCAGAUCUGGGAUGAAGCUGAACCCCGACAUAGGUCUUUUCAGACCGGAGCGACCGUCGGGUGGCCGGUUACCACAAUUGCUCGGUGGAGGCUGCACCUAGUCGCGACUGGGUGCGUUCUGUGUGCAUGAUGACAUGGCGGCGGCGGCAAUUGGUGGCUCCGGCGUGUCUACUAGUGAGAUGUGUGUGCGUGCAACAGCCGGUAUGUUGUGUGUGUCAUGCUUCCUCUCUGAAUCUUUUUAACACUGAAUUUUCUCUCCAUCUUGUACACUGUAGGGUACCAAGUAGAGAUAGCAACACAUGUUCGUCAACCGGCUGCAAAUGCGACCUUCUGUCAAUAUCUAUUUCAGAUGCAGGUCUUGGUGGAGCUGCUGCAUGGCGCAAAAUAGAGCUUGAAAGGGCGGGCUGCCAUGAUGGCCGUGAUGGAGCUGCUCUGUGAUCAACCAGGGGUAUUAUUAGGUAGCGGGCUACCAUCAGGAGGGCUGACGACAAUAACCUGAAUAACAACCUCAAAUAGUUUGUUGGUAUAGAUAUGCUGGUAUUAUUAGGUAGUGGGCUACCAUCAGGAGGGUCGACGGUGUGAUUGGGUAGUGGGCUACAUAGUGCUACCCUUCAUAACCCGCGCCAUGACAUGAUAGUUGCCAUCAGGAGAGUUGACGAAGAACCUGAACAGCAGCCUCGAAAGUUUAUAUGUUUUGUUGAUGUAAACUAGAUUGUACUGCUUCUUAACCUUGUUGUGUGAUAUAUUUAGUGAAUCUAUGUUGUAAAUUAUCAUUACAUGAAGGAUUU